UUCAGUUCAAAGGGAGAAGGAGGCUAAGCUGUAUUGCUCUCUGUCAUAAUAUACCUUACAAUGUUCAAAUAUUUGAUCAUAUUCUUGGAGUUCAUUCCAUUAAUUGUUGCUCCUGGUCACAGUCUAAUACCAACAUUCAGUUUUAAAGCAGCAAUGCUGUCUGUGACCUGAUGAAAGUGACCUGCAAUACAAUGCUAUUGUGAAUGAGUUUGUAAUGGUUGUUGUCCAUAUUAGGUAAGAAACUUGACCAGAAACUGACAAUAGAAAAGUUUCAGGAAUUCCAUACUCUUCUCAACACUGAGAUACUCCUGAUGGAAUAUCUACGUUAUGAUCUUGUUGAUGGGAUGAUUAGUGAGAGAGACUUUGCUCUCAUGAUCCUGCGCAUAGGCGGCUGCAGGCCCUGGCAAGCCCGGGUAGUUUUUAAUCAAAACCACACCCAAAAGGUGUGUUUUGUUAUGAUUAGGACACUAUAAUUCAUUUUUAAUACCCACAACUGUUUAUUGGG
rnacentral:lncRNA from 1 species